AGAGUUUGAUCAUGGCUCAGAACGAACGCUGGCGGCGUGCCUAACACAUGCAAGUCGAACGGAUUUGAGGGGCUUGCUCCUCAAGUUAGUGGCGCACGGGUGAGUAACGCGUAGAUAAUCUGCCUGAUGAUCCGGGAUAACACUUCGAAAGGGGUGCUAAUACCGGAUAAGCCCACGGGGUCUUUGGAUUCUGCGGGAAAAGGGGGGGACCUUCGGGCCUUCUGUCAUCAGAUGAGUCUGCGUACCAUUAGCUAGUUGGUAGGGUAAUGGCCUACCAAGGCUACGAUGGUUAGCUGGUUUGAGAGAAUGAUCAGCCACACUGGAACUGAGACACGGUCCAGACUCCUACGGGAGGCAGCAGUGGGGAAUUUUGCGCAAUGGGCGAAAGCCUGACGCAGCAACGCCGCGUGAGUGAUGAAGGCUUUCGGGUCGUAAAGCUCUGUCGAGGGGAAAGAAGUGUAUUGUGGCUAAUAUCCGCGAUACUUGACGGUACCCCUAAAGGAAGCACCGGCUAACUCCGUGCCAGCAGCCGCGGUAAUAC
rnacentral:rRNA from 1 species